rnacentral:sRNA from 1 species
AGCAGCCGCGGUAAUUCCAGCUCCAAUAGCGUAUAUUAAAGUUGUUGCAGUUAAAAAGCUCGUAGUUGAAUUUCGGGAUCAGUUCGCUGGUCGUGCCUUGGUAUGUACUGGUGUUACUGGUUCCUACCUUCUGACGAACCGUCAUGUCAUUAAUUUGGUGUGGCGGGGAAUCAGGACUGUUACUUUGAAAAAAUUAGAGUGUUUAAAGCAGGCUCGCGCUUGAAUACAUUAGCAUGGAAUAAUGAAAUAGGACGUUCGAUCCUAUUUUGUUGGUUUCUAGGAUUGACGUAAUGAUUAAUAGGGAUAGUUGGGGGCAUUAGUAUUCAAUUGUCAGAGGUGAAAUUCUUGGAUUUAUUGAAGACUAACUACUGCGAAAGCAUUUGCCAAGGAUGUUUUCAUUAAUCAAGAACGAAAGUUAGGGGAUCGAAGACGAUCAGAUACCGUCGUAGUCUUAACCAUAAACUAUG